GCAUCGAUGGUGUAGCGGUAACACACACCUUAUCUGUCGCGCUUGUCGCAGUGUGUUUAUGAGUGGGUCCGGGGUUCGACUCCCCGUCGGUGCA